GGUGGUUCUUGGGUAAUGUCCCCUGGAAUCGGGCUCCCUCCUUUCUGGUUCCAGGUGCGUCACCCGUGAACUGCA
rfam:Myotis brandtii contig206908, whole genome shotgun sequence.